AAUAAGCAGUCAUAAGCAGUCAGAUAUAUGAUAAAUAGCAACCUGCGUGUCCGUUAAACUUUCACUGAACUUUCCAGCACGCGCCAGCACCAACCCCAUUGUACCGAUGGUCUCUUCCGUCGUCAUGGAAACCCUCAAACGCUGAAAACAUGGCGACGCUUGAGAAACUUUACAGUCAGCUUGAGCAAAUCAAAGAGCAGUAUUUUAUCAGAAACAGGAUUGCUGAGGAACACAGGAAGAAAGAGAAUCAGGCUGCUGUCAAAAUUCAGAGCUGGUUCAGAGGCUGCCAGGUGAGAGGAUACCUGAGUCAUCUGCAUAAAAAUGCAACAUCAAUACAGAAAAUAUGGAGAGGGUUCAUUGCACGGAAGCUGUUCAGACACAGACUAAAGGCAGCAUAUUUUAUCAUGAAGAUACAUUUCUACAAUAAGUUGGCUGUCAAGAUACAGAAGAGAUGGCGGGGCUAUUAUGUUAGAAAGUACGUACACAAUUAUUAUGCACGCAAGAGAUAUUUGGAAGGAUUAACAAGGAAGAAUAAUCAAAUCAGGAGAGAUCUGGAAGAAUUUGCAGAGCUCCAGAGAAGAGAGCGAGAACGGAUCGCUCUGGAGAAAGAGGAGCGGGAGAAAAACAUCCAGGCCCAAAGACUCCACUUUCUCCUCAGCACCAAACAGUGUCCCGGUGUUUACAACUCACCGUUUAAGACAGAGCCUGAUGAGAUGGAGCUGAGACUGAGACGAGUUAAACCACGAUCAGCUCCUAAAGAGAGGAAGACCCCUAAAAUCACCCCUGAUCUCUUCAACCUGACCCCAAACAGAGAUCGCCUUCCACCCAUACACCAAAAGCCACAGGGGCCCUUUCGUUCAUCUCUGGAGGUGCAGCAGCAACGGUACCGGCCCCUGGAGCCGAGCCUGCGCGUGGCCACAUCCAUCACUGCCCUGGAGGAGGCCAGAGAGGAGCUCAGACGCCAGGAGUGGAGGACUCGCGUCAUCGACCAGCCUCUCCUCCUACAUCCGUUUCGGUGGCGUCCUAUGAUGUUGUCACUGCUGGGCAUUGGUCUGCACUGCCAAAAGAUCCCCUUUUCCUUCCAUUCUUAAAUGCAACCCCAAAAAAGAGGUACGAAGGCCUGAUGCACACCAGCACCCCCUUCGAACAGGUGGGAUACGGGAUCAAACAUUUUCGAGAGGAACAAAAGGAGGACCUCCAGGGGAAAAAGCCCUUCAAGACCGUCUUUACCACCUGCCACAUCUUUGACAAGUUUGGACGACUGUACUCCAACGCUGGUAAUAUCGUAUGAGGUGGCUGAGUGGAAAACAGACAAAAUCAAUAAAUAAAUGAAAAUAAAAUAUA